AUUUUGCAGUGACGUGAGAAACAAUAGCUUGACAGGCAAUAUUCCUGAAAACAUAGGCAAUUGUACUGCUUUCCAGAUCUUGGAUUUAUCUUACAACAAGCUAUCUGGAGAGAUACCAUUCAAUAUUGGUUUCCUACAAGUAGCAACUCUGUCAUUGCAAGGCAAUAAACUCUUAGGUUAUAUUCCAUCAGUUAUCGGUCUGAUGCAAGCCCUUACUGUUUUGUAAGUAUUCGAUUGGCAAACUUUAUGAAGUUUCUUUGUUGACUUGAUAUUUUUCCUCUUUACUAAUCUCC